GGAUGUCCUUUUCUAUGAGGGGGCGAAGGUUCUAUUUAAUGUAGCUUCGGCUAUAUUUAAGAUGAAGGAAGAUGAGUUGCUUCUAACGCAUCAGGUUGGUGAUGUUAUUAAUAUAUUACAAAGAACUACCCAUCACCUUUUCGAUCCUGAUGAGUUAUUGGCGGUUGCGUUUGAUAAGAUCGGUUUUAUGACUACAAACACGAUAUCAAAACAAAGGAAAAAGCAAGAACCAGAAGUAAUGAAAGAGCUUGAUCAGAGACUAAAAUGA